AUUGAACGCAGGCGGAAUGCUUUACACAUGCAAGUCGAACGGCAGCACGGGGGCAACCCUGGUGGCGAGUGGCGAACGGGUGAGUAAUACAUCGGAACGUGCCCAAUCGUGGGGGAUAACGUAGCGAAAGCUACGCUAAUACCGCAUACGAUCUACGGAUGAAAGCGGGGGAUCGCAAGACCUCGCGCGAAUGGAGCGGCCGAUGGCAGAUUAGGUAGUUGGUGGGGUAAAGGCUCACCAAGCCGACGAUCUGUAGCUGGUCUGAGAGGAUGAUCCGCCACACUGGGACUGAGACACGGCCCAGACUCCUACGGGAGGCAGCAGUGGGGAAUUUUGGACAAUGGGCGGAAGCCUGAUCCAGCCAUGCCGCGUGAGUGAAGAAGGCC
rnacentral:rRNA from 1 species